rnacentral:rRNA from 1 species
UACGGAGGGUGCAAGCGUUAUCCGGAUUCACUGGGUUUAAAGGGUGCGUAGGUGGGCAAGUAAGUCAGUGGUGAAAUCUCCGGGCUUAACCCGGAAACUGCCAUUGAUACUAUUUGUCUUGAAUACUGUGGAGGUCAGCGGAAUAUGUCAUGUAGCGGUGAAAUGCUUAGAUAUGACAUAGAACACCAAUUGCGAAGGCAGCUGGCUACACGAAUAUUGACACUGAGGCACGAAAGCGUGGGGAUCAAACAGG